UCUGACACCAUCUGACAGUUCAG
rnacentral:piRNA from 1 species